CUAAACCCAGUACGGCAGUCGAUUCAUUUUUCUUUUUUUAGGGUUUUAAGCCUCAGUUCUUCUAUUUCCGCCCAAAACACAUUUCCAAACAACCGAUUGCUGCCACUGGUCUUCGCAUCUUGCCGCUGCCGCAACUCAUUGGUACUGUAUUUGCAAGAUGAGAUAAUUAUUUACUUUCUCUCUUAUUUUUAUUGAAAAACAAAAGGAAUGUGCUUUAUUUUCUUUAGUCUACUUUUAUGCUUUGAAACAUUAAAACUCUCGUCUCCUAGUUGUUCCUUUUUCCCUCACUAGAGUAUGCUUGAUCAUAAGUUAAUGAGAAGAGGUUUGAAUAUCUGCCUACACUUUAGUGGGCAGAGAAAGGAAGUAGUAGGUACCACUAUCAUUAAAAAAAAGAUUUAUGCUUGAUACUUUGAGUUUUGUCCUUUUUCCCUUUGUGUAUAUAGUAUGCUGCUCUGGGAGAUUUCUUCAUUACCCUCAAUAUAAUCCUAGCUGUCUGUUACAUGAAGCUGCCAGGUUAUUUUGUGUUGAAUCCUGCAAAUAAUUUGCAACAAUUUAGUUACCAGCUGUUCUUGGUCAAAGGGAACUUAAUUUACUUUUUGUCAUAAAUUGUACCUUUAUGUCGAAUAAUCAUCAAUUCUUGUCUUGGGUUGGGAACAUAGAGGGGUUAGGUGUUGCCUUUUAGAAAGUGCACAAUUGAGUUUCCAUAAGUUUUGGGGAUGUUUGGCCUGGCAUUCUUGCAAAUGGGCACUGAGGAUAUGGUGAUGUUAAGACAAUAUCUUCCAAUGUUGACCCAUUUUGAAUAGAAAAACUAGAGUCAAAACUUUUUGAUAAGAGAAGAAAGUUUGAAGUACCAAGAAGGUACUACAAAAUACAAAGAGAAAAAGUUACAGUAUACUAUCACUGAUUCAUCCCCAGAAACUCCAAAAAAACAACAUACCAAGACAAAUUUUCUACCCUGUUAUUCCUACACCAGAAAUAUAGACUCUGAAGACAUCUAUUUUUAACAAAAGAAAUGUGUUGUUUUUAUCCUUGAAAGCAUCUCCUAUUCCUCUCUAGCCAAAUUGUCCACAUGAUGGACACGGGCUCGUUUUCCGGAUCUGUUUCCGUCUUUUGUCAACUCUCUGACUCUGCCAACUCUCCAGUAAAUUUUUCACACUGUGAGGCAUCACCCGCUGCACAUUGCAGAUGUUGAGAAAAAGAAAUCCGUCUUGUUUGCAUAGCUAAUAGUUUCCUGAGCUUCUUCACAAAACCAACACCUACUGCAAGGGAGAAGCCUUUUUCUGUAAAGUAUCGUGAGUUACACAUGCAUUGCUUGCUACAAACCAGCCAAAACAAGCAAUCUUAGAAGGUGCUUUUUGUUCUCCACAAUAUUUUCCAAGGCCAGGACAUAUCCCACUGCCCUAUUUGUUUCUGUAGUAUGGUAUAACAGCUUUUAAUUGAGAAUCUUACAUCUUUAGUGGCUGUCCAGAUUUGGGAAUCCAACCUGUUAAAAUGUUGGCCUGGUGGCAAUUGACUUGAGCCUUGGGGUUUGCUCCCUUUCAAGGUCUCAAGUUCGAAACCCACUGGGUGCAAACAAUUUCUGAGGGCCAUCGGACUGGGUAAACCUGAAUUAACCGUGGUGCACUUGCGGGAAACUCCUUGCCGAGGGCCUGUGCACCCCCAGGAAUAGUCGGGCUCAAAGAGACUCGGACACCCGAUGCAAAUCAAAAAUAAAAUAAAAUUGAGGGUUAUAGAUUCCAAAAUGUAUAACAAUUAGCUAACCUCCUCCACUUCCCCGGUCAUUAGAGUUUCUUCUGAAGUUUUAAUGCCACCUUGAGCCAGUAUAACAAUCAGCAUUUGUACAAUAUUUUGUUUACAACUAAGCUAUACAAACUCAGGAAAUUUGUCCUUUAAUUUUCCGUCUCCCAAGAAAAACUCGUCCUAGAACACUGCUAGCAUUUAGUUUGAUAUAUUGCUGGAAUUCAAACCUAAGCUUGCAUAUAUUCUUCCAAACUUCCUUUUGUCUGCAUUUCCUUCCCACAAAAACUAAAUUCUCAGGGUAUUAUUUUCAUAGGAAAACCAUAGUGAAUUAUUAUAUGUACACAAAAUAUUAGAAGCUACCAAGCAAAUCUUUAUCAUUUUUCUUUUUCGUGGCUUAUCUACAUAUUCAACCUUUUUUCCCCUUCUUGCUGGCACCAUGGUAAACAAUAUUAAGAAAAAACUAUAGUAUAUAUAAAUAUCAUAUUUGAUGCCUCCUUCUACUAAGUGAUUUUUUUUAAAAAAUUGAUUCAAGAUAAAGUAGAAAGCUCUAAUGACUUUGAAUUUUGUACUUGAUUCAAGACAAAGUGAGAGGUUGACAAUGGUUUCUUUAAGUUGAUAGGACUUGGAAAUCUUUCUAAGACAUUGCUUGAAGAUUGAAAUGAAUCUUUAUUAAGUCCUGAGGACUUGUUUAUUUGUUUGUGAAAUUAAGUUUCAUAUCACAUGUCACUAUUGCGACGGUGGAAAAAGCUUUUUGUCAAUGAAUUGUGUUAAAAAUGACUUGUGAAGUAGAAUUGGUGAUAGAUUUUUGAAUGACUGUUUAGAUUGUUAUAUAGAGGAUGAAAAAUUUGAAAGUAUACCCUAAGUUGCUCGGACUAUUUACUUUCGGUGCCGCACCCUUUUUGACAUGAUCUGGGUGUGGGUGUGAAAUCUGUACCGGAUAUGAUCAACCAAUUUUAGAUACUUCGACCAAAAUCGACAGAGAAAUUUGGGACAAAUACAGUAACUUUUUUGACAUAAAAACAAAAGCUAAAGGGAAAUUGAAGAAAAUGGAAUACUUUAUAUAUAGAAAUUUCUAUGUCAGUCCUUUUCCUUUUAUCUCCUUCUCGGAUUCUCCUACGGAUCACUAUUUUCUCCUUAUCGGAAUACUUUGUAAAUUUUCAAAAUAAUGUCUCAUAAUUUAGACAUUUUUAUAACUAUAUUUUUAGAUUUUGAAUUAUUUUCAGCCGAAUCCCCAUACUUGUAUCCGUAUCUAGAUUCAUUCCACCACUAACAACAAUAACUACAGACCCAGUUUAGUGUGCAUGCAGACCCUAUUCCUACCUAGUAAAGGUAGAGAGAUUGUUUUUGGUGGACCCUCGGCUCAAGACAAGGUGAAGAAGAGAAAAGAUGAAGAAGAAGAAGAACAAAGAAGAAGAAACACGAGGAACAAGAAGAAAAAGAACAAAGAAGAAGUAGCAUCAAACAUUAACAAUAAGAAAAUAAGAGAACUGAAGCGAACGAAAUAACAUGGUCUUAAUAGAGCUCUAAGAAUAUGAAAGAGUGCUACUAAUACUACUGGUAUUGGACGAGGAAACUGUCGACUACCUCCUAACCUUCUACCCUAAUUUUCAAUCUUCACAUCCUUCUUAGUAAGUUGAAGCAGCACCAAGUUUUGCCUAAUUACCUCUCCCCAGUACCUUUUUGGGUUACCACCGAAUCUUAAAAUUUAGAUCAUGAAGGAUCUCUAGAUCCGUAUUGGACACCUGCAGACGGGUCCGAGCAACUUAGAGUAUACCUAAUGAUGCAAUCAUAGGUCGUUCUUAAAACAUGACAAGUCGUCAAGUAUAAUUGUAAUGAUAAUGUUUAUAUUCAUAUGUUGUGUUUAAGUGG
rnacentral:lncRNA from 1 species